UAGGGAAUCUUCCGCAAUGGACGCAAGUCUGACGGAGCAACGCCGCGUGAGUGAAGAAGGAUUUCGGUUCGUAAAACUCUGUUGUUAGAGAAGAACAGCGCAAAGAGUAACUGUUAUGCGUGUGACGGUAUCUAACCAGAAAGCCACGGCUAACUACGUGCCAGCAGCCGCGGUAAUACGUAGGUCCCGAGCGUUGUCCGGAUUUAUUGGGCGUAAAGCGAGCGCAGGCGGUUAGAUAAGUCUGAAGUUAAAGGCAGUGGCUCAACCAUUGUAGGCUUUGGAAACUGUUUAACUUGAGUGCAGAAGGGGAGAGUGGAAUUCCAUGUGUAGCGGUGAAAUGCGUAGAUAUAUGGAGGAACACCGGUGGCGAAAGCGGCUCUCUGGUCUGUAACUGACGCUGAGGCUCGAAAGCGUGGGGAGCGAACAGG
rnacentral:rRNA from 1 species